CCUACGGGGGGCAGCAGUGGGGAAUAUUGCACAAUGGGGGAAACCCUGAUGCAGCAACGCCGCGUGAGUGAAGAAGGUUUUCGGAUUGUAAAGCUCUGUUAGCAGGGAAGAGGAAGGACGGUACCUGCAGAGGAAGCCACGGCUAACUACGUGCCAGCAGCCGCGGUAAUACGUAGGUGGCAAGCGUUGUUCGGAAUAACUGGGCGUAAAGGAUGCGUAGGCGGUUAAACAAGUUAUAUGUUAAAUAUAUAGGCUUAACCUGUAGAAAGCAUAUAAAACUGUUUAACUAGAGUGCAGGAGAGGUA
rnacentral:rRNA from 1 species